AUGGAAAGCACCACCACAGCAGCUAGGAAUCAGCAGGGGCCGCCGCCGGCCGCCGCCUUGAUGCAUCCUCCGCCUCAAAGCAGCGUCCGGUGCGACGCGCUCGUGGUGCUUCACCGGCAUCCCGACGCGACGUGCUCCGCUCGCAGUGCUGCAGUAAAGUGCACGGGGCUGCAAUGGAGCACUACGGGAGGCUGCAAUGGAGCGACGCGCGGGGUCGUUGAGCUCCGACGGGGUUGCAAUGAAGCACGCCGGAGCUGCAAUGAAGCGCGCAUGGGGUCGUUGAAGCUCGUCAGGGGUUGCAAUGGAGCUCCGGCGUCAUGGCCGCUGCAUCGCAGCUCUGGCGGUCGACGACCGCUGCACUUCAGCUCCGGCGGCGUCGGCGACCACUGCAUCGCAGCUCCGGCGGUCGACGACCGCUGCACUGUAGCUCCGGUGGCGUCGGCGACCGCUGCAUCGCAGCUCCGGCGGUCGACGACCGCUGCACUGCAGCUCCGGCGGCGUCUACAACAGCUGCAUCGCAGCUCCGGCGGCAUCGGUGUCCGCUUCAUCGUAGCUCCGACGGCUGCUGCAUCGCAACUCCGGCGCCGACAAGGCCGCUGCUGCCGUGCGGGGCAUGCUUGGAGCGGACAGUGGGCGUUGUACCUGCGGAGAAGUGCAAUCCGCGGGAGACCAAGCGAACGGCUACGAUGUUCACAAUCAGACAGUUGUCAAGGCGGCGGAUAA
rnacentral:rRNA from 1 species